UACGUAGGGUGCGAGCGUUAAUCGGAAUUACUGGGCGUAAAGCGUGCGCAGGCGGUUUUGUAAGCCAGAUGUGAAAGCCCCGGGCUUAACCUGGGAAUUGCGCUCGAAACUACGUGGCUGGAGUGUGGCAGAGGAAGGUGGAAUUCCAGGUGUAGCGGUGAAAUGCGUAGAGAUCUGGAGGAACACCGAUGGCGAAGGCAGCCUUCUGGGCCAACACUGACGCUCAUGCACGAAAGCGUGGGGAGCGAACAGG
rnacentral:rRNA from 1 species